UUUCUAAUCCAGCUGUAAUGAAGACAGACAACAGUCAAAUUAACAACUGAUCAGGAGGAGAAGUUCAUAAUCCUUGAGCUGGAUCUAUCCGCACAUGCACCUGGCCCAGGAAGCUGAAAUGGGAGAUCUGAUGAGCAGUGGAGGACUGAACCAAAGCCCUUGGCUUUUGCUCCAUACCAAUCAGCCAUUCUGGACAUACACAUGGGCAGAAGAUGUAGCCGCCUUGUGUGAAAAUUUGAGAGCUCUCUACUCAAUCUUCCACAUAGUAUAACCCUCAUUGGCUGGAAUCAUAAUGAUAUCUGCAUCUGGAACUGGCCACUAGUAUAACACCUACAAAAUGCACAACGGCCUUCAGACCAUAUGAAAAGUCUACAGGGUGAGAAUCUGAAAAUCCAGCAAUGAGGAGAAAAAAGUUAUCUCCCAUUAAGAACACUUUCCAGAAGCUACACAAUUCCAUUUAUUGAUUCAUCCCAUUUACUAGAACCUGUUCAUCUGGCUAUGCCCAAAACCAAGGGAAACUGAAAUAGUGGUUACCAUAUUCUGUAACUCAGCCUAGCCUAGCUUCAGAAGUUUUAAU
rnacentral:lncRNA from 1 species